AAAAUUCUUUAAUCAAAUAAUUUAAGAAUGCAUCCAUUAUGCAUUCGACAUUAAAGUUAUCGUGUGUGACAGACACCGGGAACAAAGACAAUGAUGGGAUCCCACCAAAUCCCAUUUUUUAUUUUAGAAUAUGGUUGUCCUACCAAUGUGUACUUGCAAGGUUUCUUCCUCCUCACUCUCCCUCAUUCCCUCUCUCGAACACUCUUCCUCCCUCUCCCGGUCACCCCCCCUCUCUCUGGAUCACUCUCGGUCUCCAUGUUGUCUUUUCAACAAGGCUCGAACGGUUCAGUAGCUGCCUUGUGAGCUGGUCAUCAUUGUUGCUGAUUGCACUUGUGCCGAUGAUGAGGAAAACCACCAAGGGUUGUUGAUUCUCUUGAUCUCCUCCCCGAGGUCACUGUGGUCCCUGAUUGGAGUGUUGUUCAUUAACGUCACAACUGCGCCAAGUCCUUCCUGUAUAGGAAAAAAACAGUGUCACACAAAAGGGGCAUAUCGUCAACUUACGACAGAGUGAAAAAAAGAACAGGUACUCGAGGAAGAACAAAUGGUGAAAUAAAAAAUCACCAUUAACCACUACGUGAGAUACCAUCAUUACCUGAACAACUUUUUUCAGUAACAUAAUAGUUGAUAAGAAAAAUAUGCCGCACAGCAUGAAACGCAAAACAUAUAUUUAUUGACGCAAGAUAUACUACAGUGAAAUUUUAUCCAGAAAUUUAAAUUAUCCUAGUAAGCAAAUGCAUUUAGAAUGGUAUUUCAAUUAAUCACAUAAAUGCAGGAAGAAUCUGGAAAAUGGAGAAUCAUAGAAAUGCAUGUAAUUUUUCUGAAAAAAUACCACCAUCGACUUAUAUGUAUAAUCAUUUAAUUGAUGUGCCUAUUUCUCUAGCAAUUUUGUGCAAAGUAUCAACAAGCUAGCAAAAGUGAAGUAAACUAACAAAAGUACGUGCGAUAUUUUGUUGUAUUAAUUAAAACUCACAAGAUGCAAGCUAGGACCUGAGCAUGAUGAACCGGGAGGGGGAAAGGUAUAGUAAGAUUGGCUGAUCAGCCAAGGGCGCAUAACAGGGUUCACAGCAAUUGUUAGGAGGGCCGGAGGCAGGCAAGGACUCAUCGUCUAGCUCCAGCGAGCCGCACAGAACAAGGUUGGCGGCAUGAUCAGCUCGCUUGUUUGUCUUGGUGCGUCCAGAUCUCUCCUCCCUCCUAUUCUCCUUCGCACUGAACUCCUUUCUGCUUUGCUCCCCUGAAACUCUUUACGUAAACUUCAAGUAGCAUGAGAGUUUAGUAGAACAAAAAAUCUAUAUAUCUGAAGAAAUGAUAGUACAAGCAGAAUAGCAGACUAAACUGAAUGGGAAAGUGUUGGUCAUGUAACUAUUGCCAUUUCCAAUAGAUGUACAAUGCACAAAGUGGCAUCAUCUUCAAUUUAUUUAGCUAUCUAUAAUUGGAUUAGCAAGUAUGUAUACAAUCAAAUUCAACAUGAAAAAUUCAGUAGAACCUGAAAAAUUCAUUAACCCACAGCAAAUUUGUAAACCAAAAUUAAGAGUAGUGACAAUGAAUGAAAUAUCUAAGAUGAUGUGGGAAUAUAAAACAAGAAUUUAGCCAGAAGACUAAUUGUACUCACAGGUCACAACAAGGCAAAAGUAAAACAAUAGCUAUAUGCGAAAAUCAUAAACUUCAUGGAUUUGCAAUAAAUAAAUAAUCAGUGAGAGGCGGUACAUGAUCGAAAAAUAUAUAAAUAAUUUAGAGAAAAAUAUCUAAAUAUUUAAACAUAGGAAGACAGAUAUAAGGCAUUAAGUAGGUUACAUGUCUCUAGUUCUGUAACCUUGUGGCUUCCAUGGUGCCAAACAUGUUUUAUGGUUAUUGCAUCAUGCAUGAAACAGAAGGACAACGCCGAGUGAAUUUUUCCAAUGUGAACCGACAUUUUCCUAAGAGUAAAGUUUCUAGAAAAUAAAGUAAUGCAUCGGAUCAAAUAUAUAGUCAAGAUACAUGCAGAAACAACAUCCAUUAAUGAAAAGGCCCAACGUAUUGUCCUACUCCAGACUUACAAGAUACUGGAGUGAGAUCCUCACCUCUCUCUACACAACGUACACCAACUCUAGAAGCAUCAGCCUCAGCCUCUCCUCCUUGUAAACCAAAGCAACCCUGCAAGCAAACCAAAUCAGUAAUAAAAACUGAACCAAAUCAAGCCAAGAAGCAAGAGAUUUCCACCUAUCACGUGUGUGCUCUAGCUAUUUUGAGCAAAACCGCAUGGCAGCAAGCCCCUCAAGCAGCUCUGCCGGGUAAGGUCUGAUGAGCGAGCAGCUAAACACAGCUCCAUCUUUGAUGUCUCUCUCUUCUUAAUUUGGUGUCUCUCCUCAGCUGGCCUGACCAACAACCUAGGAUGGGGAGGGGAGGAAACGAAAUGACAUAUGCAUUGUAGUCCAAUAUCAAGGCCUUGAUGCAACACCAAGAAGUAGAGAUAUCUCUUUCAUCAAAUUAUGUCUUAUAAUUUUAUAAACCUUCUCAAGGAAAAACGUNNNNNNNNNNNNNNNNNNNNNNNNNNNNNNNNNNNNNNNNNNNNNNNNNNNNNNNNNNNNNNNNNNNNNNNNNNNNNNNNNNNNNNNNNNNNNNNNNNNNNNNNNNNNNNNNNNNNNNNNNNNNNNNNNNNNNNNNNNNNNNNNNNGGUAGUUAUUCUUUAAUUUGCAGUCCCUCCAUCCAAAAAUAAGUGUCUUAACUCUAGUACAAUUUUAUACUAAAGUUAGUACAAAGUUGAGCACUUAUUUUGGGAUGGAUGGAGUAGUAUUUAUGAGUGAAACUGCCUUGAAAUGCAACAUAUCGACACAUUUAUACCAGUUGUGCGAUGUGCCCUGUUAGUUUGCCAUUCCAUAGUCCAUUCCCAGGAUGAUCCAUUAACCUAGAGAGAGAACACCAAUUUCAAUUAAGAAAAAAGCAAAACAUAAGGUUGUAAUGUAAUGAAGAUCUCAGCUGUACGAUAAAAAAGAGAGAAGCUAUUGUAUCUAAUCAGAAGCAGCAACACAUGUCAUGGAAUAUACUUAUAUUAUAUACAGAAUUCGAUUUCAGAACACCCAAGUAGUCUGUUACCAUAUUCACAAUGCUCUGUCAAUGGUAAAACAUUGCUAGUGCCUGCAAAAAAGUGUAAAAACAAAAUGAUGGAACAUUAUAAAAUAACAAUUAAUAAUUGAUGUCAACAACAUCUACUUUGCCAAGCUGCAGAUGCCCUCUAACUUCCUAAUGAUUGAAAUCCCACAAAUAUUCCUUCAAGUCAGAAACGGCUAUAUAACUUGACUCGUGGAGACAUCACCAGAUUUUUCUUCCGUUCUUGCCUCCAAAAGGAUUAGUAUGUAAUACAUUAGAGUAAAUGGAUAGGUGCAAAUCAUCUCCUAAAUUGAAAACCUGCAUAGGUGCAAUGUUGAGACGGGAUAGCCUCUGACUAUGAGAUGCUAAGCAUGCCUUGGCAUCUGGACUGAACUUCUGAACUUCUGUGAAUCAACUUAGAGCUUCCUCUGAUUUUUGUUGUUGCAAACUGCACUAAAGAGCUUUUUGAAUCGCGUGGUCGAUCAAAAGGCCCUGGAAAAAAAUCCCAAACAAUAUCAAUAGAUUGAUGUGCAGAUGUGAACAUAGUUGAAGGGGCGGGGGAAGACGAACCAGCGGUAGUCUUCUCUUUGUGAUCAUUUGCGUAGCCACCUUCUUGACCUCAUCUUCUGUGAGCAUCCCAUCAAUGUUCAGCAACAAUUCAUUUAAUCGACUCAACAAAGCGUAAUAAAGUUCAGAUACAUGGUCAAGGAGAAGAAAUCAAACAGUAUUCAGAUAUGCUUUUUUUGGCGGGGUAGUAUUCAGAUAUGCUGAUUCAUGUCAUUAAUGAAGUGUUGCUUGCUGAUCACACAAAUGAGUUAAUUAGUCAGUACCUUUGAAGCACUCAGUUUGCUGUAUGGACAUAGCAUCCAUGAAUCCGAGCUCAUCUACCUGAGAAAUCAGAGGCGCCAUUCCAUGGCAGCGAAGCCCAC
rnacentral:lncRNA from 1 species